GGAAGUCAGGUUUGUGGUUGAAAGUCGAUGCCAGUCGCAGGCAAAGCGAUCCACGUAAGUUAAAUAAAAUAUUUAAUGAGCAUGGUGCGGUUUAGAAGUAAGUCCUGCCGUUAUGUAAAAUGGCGAGAGGAUUAGUAGUGAGAGGUUAAUUCCCGGUAGCGAGGAUUCCAGCAGGCGAGUGUGGGGUCAAAGACCAGGUCAACUGACUUCG
rnacentral:ncRNA from 19 species